rnacentral:lncRNA from 1 species
GAGAGUAGGUGAGUUAUUAUAGUGGAACUUUAGAGAAGAAACAAGUAUUUUGAUAUGUAUUGUAUUUUAUAGAUGUUCAUAUUUGCAUGUGUCAUGAAAUGGUUAGAAAAAAAUAAAGGGUCUCAUGUACAGACCAAAUGAUAAUUCUAACAUGUUCAUUCANNNNNNNNNNUGAUAAUUCUAACAUGUUCAUUCAAUGUAGUCUCCCUGUAUUUAAAAUAAAUAUUUUAAUAAUCAACAUAUCAUUGCCAAAUUAUAGGGCAAAAUAAAAAAGUUUCAAUCUAUACCUCAAAGGAUUAAUAUUAGGUACAAUUAACACUUAUCUGAACUGAAGCCUAGGACCUGGGAAGCAAAUAAAGGCAAUAUAUGUCAUACGACUGCAAUCUGCAAAAGCCGAGGAACUCAAAAGUAUCACCUCUCAUUUGGUUACAUGGAGCUGUUUUCAAUGAGUUAUUUUAAUUCAUGUGGAACAUUCAUGUCCUGCAUGGAGAACAUAAAUUGGAACAUGCCACUUCUAAAUCUAUUUGCAGCCACACAAGACUACUGAUACGGUUUAUUUACCUAGAAUUUAUUGCCUUGCUUUUUGGCUUAAGAAACUGAUAUUUGGGCAAUUGGAUCUUUUCUUUUUCAGAGUAAAACAGGAGCCCUGGAAGGCCCAGAAGUGGAUGGGUUUGUCAAAGACAUGAUGGAGCUUGUCCAGGUGAGUGCACGUUCUUCUUAUUAUGAACUGGGGUUGUUGUUUUGAUUUAUUCCAUUGUUUAUUUGUGGGAAUCAGUGAGACUGAAGGUUAAUGUCUAAGAAUACACCCAUGAAACCAUCAUCAUGAUCAAUGACAUAAACUUAUCCAUCACCUGCAAACAUUUCUCUAGCCAACCCCCUCCACCUUUUUUUUGUCUUUUUGUUUUAUUUUGUUUUCUUUUAUGUCAAGGGCACUUAACAUAACAUUUACCCUCAUAGCAAAUGUCCAAGUAUACCAUACAAUAUUGUUAAUUAUAUGCACAAUAAUUUCUGUACAAGAUUUUUGUUUGUUUGUUUUUGA